CCCAAAUCGGAUGUCAGGGUUGCCAAUUCAGGCUUCCAAGGUUUCCACUGUACUUAAAAUAUGUAAUGAGCUAAAUCAUUAUCAGUUUGCAAACAGUUGUUCCCCCAGUGGAACCAGAGCAGACCAGAGAAAAAGGUCCCCACAAGACAGUCAGAGGCUAUCUGCAGGGCGACAUGCCAGGGUUCCGUCGACAUGUUCUCAUGAAGAAGCAGACACAGUAACUACAGUUUUCCACAUCAACAUCCCAAAAAGCACAGCCACAGACAUGCAGUGGUAGUCCUGUAAACCUCCAGUUGACUGCAAUGUAGAGAGCAGACCAACAGAUGCUUCUUUUAGACCACAGCUUCAUCUUCAACUGUGUUGGCAACAGAAAGUGAAACACAGGCAGUGAGUGCUUGGACUGAGGCCAGAAUUUCCACAGCAGCUCUGAAAGUCAUUAAAACCUCCACAGACACACAACUGGCUUUCAUUUUGUCAUUAUGGCCCCCAUGAAGGCCCUGAUUGUUGAAGGGGAGCCUCAGCCAGUGAAACAGUGCCAUGGAGGGGGAGGGAGAAAAGGAUGACGGAGGGACCACACAUGUCUUCAUGGACAGGGGAUCCCCCACUAACCAGUAGACUUUACUGAGGCCUGUGGGAAUCAGCUGCCUGUGUAAAGUCAUGCACACGAUUCUGGCGUUCUGUCGUUUAUCAAGCAAAAAUCUGCAAGCAGAGUUCUUCAAAGAACUCGACAAAUGCACUCCUCCUUUCUUCCUGGAGAUGUCCAAGUCCAAGGAGGGAAGUGUCAGCCAUAAACUUAAUGAAUAUCUGCACAAGUCACACCAGGGAUAUUUGAGUACAGAUGUGACUGGGAAGCGAACAGCAGUCCUCCGUGGCC